rnacentral:sRNA from 1 species
GACUAAGGUUCGACUCGAGCGCCAGCGAGAGAACGUUGCCGCAGGCAACGGCCCGAAGGGCGAGGAGCGAUAGCGACGAGU